rnacentral:rRNA from 1 species
CGUGUAGGCUGCUCUGCAAGUCGGAUGUGAAAGCCCUGGGCUCAACCUAGGAAGUGCACUCGAAACUGCGGAGCUUGAGUCUCGGAGAGGAUCGCGGAAUUCUCGGUGUAGAGGUGAAAUUCGUAGAUAUCGAGAGGAACACCGGUGGCGAAGGCGGCGAUCUGGACGAUGACUGACGCUGAGACGCGAAAGCGUGGGGAGCAAACA